UCCGAGUUAACCCCGGCAGUCCCCCACGAGUCCCCAGCCGCCCCGAAGGACGCUGCUGGCAACAUGGGGUAAGGGUUGCGCUCGUUGCGGGACUUAACCCAACAUCUCACGACACGAGCUGACGACAACCAUGCACCACCUGUGAACCGGCCCCAAAGGGGAAACCACAUUUCUGCGGCGAUCCGGCCCAUGUCAAGCCUUGGUAAGGUUCUUCGCGUUGCAUCGAAUUAAUCCGCAUGCUCCGCCGCUUGUGCGGGCCCCCGUCAAUUCCUUUGAGUUUUAGCCUUGCGGCCGUACUCCCCAGGCGGGGCACUUAAUGCGUUAGCUGCGGCACGGACCACGUGGAAUGCGGCCCACACCUAGUGCCCAACGUUUACGGCAUGGACUAC
rnacentral:misc_RNA from 1 species